rnacentral:rRNA from 1 species
CCUGGCUCAGGAUGAACGCUGGCGGCGUGCUUAACACAUGCAAGUCGAGCGAAGCGAUUUAAGCGAAGUUUUCGGAUGGAUCUUAAAUUGACUGAGCGGCGGACGGGUGAGUAACGCGUGGAUAACCUGCCUCACACAGGGGGAUAACAGUUAGAAAUGACUGCUAAUACCGCAUAAGCGCACGGUACCGCAUGGUACAGUGUGAAAAACUCCGGUGGUGUGAGAUGGAUCCGCGUCUGAUUAGGUAGUUGGUGAGGUAACGGCCCACCAAGCCGACGAUCAGUAGCCGACCUGAGAGGGUGACCGGCCACAUUGGGACUGAGACACGGCCCAAACUCCUACGGGAGGCAGCAGUGGGGAAUAUUGCACAAUGGGCGAAAGCCUGAUGCAGCAACGCCGCGUGAGUGAAGAAGUAUCUCGGUAUGUAAAGCUCUAUCAGCAGGGAAGAAAAUGACGGUACCUGACUAAGAAGCCCCGGCUAACUACGUGCCAGCAGCCGCGGUAAUACGUAGGGGGCAAGCGUUAUCCGGAUUUACUGGGUGUAAAGGGAGCGCAGACGGCACUGCAAGUCUGAAGUGAAAGCCCGGGGCUCAACCCCGGGACUGCUUUGGAAACUGUAGAGCUAGAGUGCUGGAGAGGCAAGCGGAAUUCCUAGUGUAGCGGUGAAAUGCGUAGAUAUUAGGAAGAACACCAGUGGCGAAGGCGGCUUGCUGGACAGUAACUGACGUUCAGGCUCGAAAGCGUGGGGAGCAAACAGGAUUAGAUACCCUGGUAGUCCACGCCGUAAACG